rnacentral:rRNA from 1 species
GACGAACGCUGGCGGCGUGCUUAACACAUGCAAGUCGAACGGUAAGGCCCUUCGGGGUACACGAGUGGCGAACGGGGGAGUAACACGUGGGUGAUCUGCCCUGCACUUCGGGAUAAGCCUGGGAAACUGGGUCUAAUACCGGAUAGGACUCCGGACUGCAUGGUCUGGGGUGGAAGGCUUUUGCGGUGGGGGAUGGGCCCGCGGCCUAUCAGCUUGUUGGUGGGGUGAUGGCCUACCAAGGCGACGACGGGUAGCCGGCCUGAGAGGGUGACCGGCCACACUGGGACUGAGAUACGGUCCAGACUCCUACGGGAGGCAGCAGUGGGGAAUAUUGCACAAUGGGCGCAAGCCUGAUGCAGCGACGCCGCGUGAGGGAUGACGGCCUUCGGGUUGUAAACCUCUUUCAGCAUCGACGAAGCGAAAGUGACGGUAGGUGCAGAAGAAGGACCGGCCAACUACGUGCCAGCCGCCGCAGUAA